rnacentral:piRNA from 1 species
UGGUCAUAGAAAGUAUCUGAAAUAGUUCUU